rnacentral:rRNA from 1 species
AGAGUUUGAUCCUGGCUCAGGACGAACGCUGGCGGCGUGCCUAACACAUGCAAGUAGAACGCUGAAGAGAGGAGCUUGCUCUUCUUGGAUGAGUUGCGAACGGGUGAGUAACGCGUAGGUAACCUGCCUUGUAGCGGGGGAUAACUAUUGGAAACGAUAGCUAAUACCGCAUAACAAUGGAUGACACAUGUCAUUUAUUUGAAAGGGGCAAUUGUUCCACUACAAGAUGGACCUGCGUUGUAUUAGCUAGUAGGUGAGGUAAUGGCUCACCUAGGCGACGAUACAUAGCCGACCUGAGAGGGUGAUCGGCCACACUGGGACUGAGACACGGCCCAGACUCCUACGGGAGGCAGCAGUAGGGAAUCUUCGGCAAUGGGGGCAACCCUGACCGAGCAACGCCGCGUGAGUGAAGAAGGUUUUCGGAUCGUAAAGCUCUGUUGUAAGUCAAGAACGGGUGUGAGAGUGGAAAGUUCACACUGUGACGGUAGCUUACCAGAAAGGGACGGCUAACUACGUGCCAGCAGCCGCGGUAAUACGUAGGUCCCGAGCGUUGUCCGGAUUUAUUGGGCGUAAAGCGAGCGCAGGCGGUUUGAUAAGUCUGAAGUUAAAGGCUGUGGCUCAACCAUAGUUCGCUUUGGAAACUGUCAAACUUGAGUGCAGAAGGGGAGAGUGGAAUUCCAUGUGUAGCGGUGAAAUGCGUAGAUAUAUGGAGGAACACCGGUGGCGAAAGCGGCUCUCUGGUCUGUAACUGACGCUGAGGCUCGAAAGCGUGGGGAGCGAACAGGAUUAGAUACCCUGGUAGUCCACGCCGUAAACGAUGAGUGCUAGGUGUUGGAUCCUUUCCGGGAUUCAGUGCCGCAGCUAACGCAUUAAGCACUCCGCCUGGGGAGUACGACCGCAAGGUUGAAACUCAAAGGAAUUGACGGGGGCCCGCACAAGCGGUGGAGCAUGUGGUUUAAUUCGAAGCAACGCGAAGAACCUUACCAGGUCUUGACAUCCCGAUGCUAUUUCUAGAGAUAGAAAGUUACUUCGGUACAUCGGUGACAGGUGGUGCAUGGUUGUCGUCAGCUCGUGUCGUGAGAUGUUGGGUUAAGUCCCGCAACGAGCGCAACCCCUAUUGUUAGUUGCCAUCAUUCAGUUGGGCACUCUAGCGAGACUGCCGGUAAUAAACCGGAGGAAGGUGGGGAUGACGUCAAAUCAUCAUGCCCCUUAUGACCUGGGCUACACACGUGCUACAAUGGUUGGUACAACGAGUUGCGAGUCGGUGACGGCGAGCUAAUCUCUUAAAGCCAAUCUCAGUUCGGAUUGUAGGCUGCAACUCGCCUACAUGAAGUCGGAAUCGCUAGUAAUCGCGGAUCAGCACGCCGCGGUGAAUACGUUCCCGGGCCUUGUACACACCGCCCGUCACACCACGAGAGUUUGUAACACCCGAAGUCGGUGAGGUAACCUUUUGGAGCCAGCCGCCUAAGGCGGGACAGAUGAUUGGGGUGAAGUCGUAACAAGGUA